rnacentral:ncRNA from 3 species
GCAUGCUUGACGGAGCGCGAGUAACAACUCGCUGAGAUUGGGUAAAUCUGUUUUUUGAACUGAUUUGAUCCCAAGUACCGUUGAACCUGAUCAGGUUAAUACCUGCGUAGGAAUCAAGUCAUCAAAAAAC